AGAUACGAAUCAUGGAAGAUGAUCCCGAGAUAUCUGCCAAGUCAGCUGUCAAGAGUGAGAACGAUACUACUCGAUAAUGCACUUGGACGGAACGUUAGACACUCCACAUGGAAUGAGUAUAGGAGUAAUGUCAAAUUGACAGACACUAUUCCAAUGAACCCUCGAAGUGAACUGUUUCACUGGAGACUAAACUAAAGUCGACAAUAUAUCCUGCAGUAUAUCUUGUCUCUAUAGUUAGAUGCCUGCCGCCCCACCC
rnacentral:misc_RNA from 1 species